AUUGGCCUAGGGAGGCAGCAGUAGGGAAUCUUCCACAGUGGGCGAAAGCCUGAUGGAGCAACGCCGCGUGGGUGAAGAAGGUCUUCGGAUCGUAAAACCCUGUUGUUAGAGAAGAAAGUGCGUGAGAGUAACUGUUCACGUUUCGACGGUAUCUAACCAGAAAGCCACGGCUAACUACGUGCCAGCAGCCGCGGUAAUACGUAGGUGGCAAGCGUUAUCCGGAUUUAUUGGGCGUAAAGGGAACGCAGGCGGUCUUUUAAGUCUGAUGUGAAAGCCUUCGGCUUAACCGGAGUAGUGCAUUGGAA
rnacentral:rRNA from 1 species